CAGAAGCAAGAUUAUUAUGCUGAAGCGAGGAAGGCAGAAGCUUCACCAAUUUUAGUCGACCCAGAAAAAAAGUAGCAAACGGAGUUUCAGCAACAUCCAGUGGAUUAGCGUCAGAGGCGGAAGCAUUUGAAUCAGAUCCAAUUGACCCAGUGGAAAUGCGGAUACUGUUGCAUCUAAACUAAUAAGCUACGGGUGAGUGGUGGGUUUGGAGGCAUUGCAUUAAGGUGGAACCCACAUCCCAAGAAGUCCAAGAUGAAGAAAAUGGACUCGCUGGUGGUGAUGGUUUUGUUAAUACCGGGAGUGGGUGGAAACAUUUGAAGACCAAUUUGUCGAUCUUAGAAAAAGCCAAGAGAGAAAGCAUGAUGAAGAGGACUUUGAUUGUUUCUGGAUUUCUGGGUUUGUUUUCAGCUUUGUUUCUUUCUCGGUUUUGGCAGCCGAUAGAGAUUGUGGUUGGGCCAUUGAUUCUUUCUACCGUUACAAAGAGUUAAAUAUUAAAGAAUUUAUUUGCAGAAAACCAUUAUCGCUCUCCUGGAUGAAGCUUGGUACAGUUUGACUUCUUAAGUAUAAAUUGGUGCGUGACGCUUUAUAGAAUUGUUCCCAUGCAGUUUGUCCUCAUCCUGAUUUUCUUAUCUAAGCAGCAUGUUUCCAAAAUCAACACAUGAAACAUUUUCAACCAAGCUCUUUAAGAACUUUCGAGCCCACCCAAGGUUGGAGAAGGCUAAA